rnacentral:rRNA from 1 species
ACACAUGCAAGUCGGACGGCAGCACAGAGAAGCUUGCUUCUUGGGUGGCGAGUGGCGAACGGGUGAGUAACAUAUCGGUACGUACCGAGUAAUGGGGGAUAACUAAUCGAAAGAUUAGCUAAUACCGCAUAUUCUCUGAGGAGGAAAGCAGGGGACCUUCGGGCCUUGCGUUAUUCGAGCGGCCGAUAUCUGAUUAGCUAGUUGGUGGGGUAAAGGCCUACCAAGGCGACGAUCAGUAGCGGGUCUGAGAGGAUGAUCCGCCACACUGGGACUGAGACACGGCCCAGACUCCUACGGGAGGCAGCAGUGGGGAAUUUUGGACAAUGGGCGCAAGCCUGAUCCAGCCAUGCCGCGUGUCUGAAGAAGGCCUUCGGGUUGUAAAGGACUUUUGUCAGGGAAGAAAAGGACAGGGUUAAUACCCCUGUCUGAUGACGGUACCUGAAGAAUAAGCACCGGCUAACUACGUGCCAGCAGCCGCGGUAAUACGUAGGGUGCGAGCGUUAAUCGGAAUUACUGGGCGUAAAGCGAGCGCAGACGGUUACUUAAGCAGGAUGUGAAAUCCCCGGGCUCAACCUGGGAACUGCGUUCUGAACUGGGUGACUAGAGUGUGUCAGAGGGAGGUAGAAUUCCACGUGUAGCAGUGAAAUGCGUAGAGAUGUGGAGGAAUACCGAUGGCGAAGGCAGCCUCCUGGGAUAACACUGACGUUCAUGCUCGAAAGCGUGGGUAGCAAACAGGAUUAGAUACCCUGGUAGUCCACGCCCUAAACGAUGUCAAUUAGCUGUUGGGCAACUUGAUUGCUUAGUAGCGUAGC